rnacentral:rRNA from 1 species
AUACCGGCGUGCUGGCUUAAUAACNNAGGAAUACGCAUGAACCGACUGGCCGGACUCUCGACCCUUGCCCUGAUGAUCUCUGCAACCAGUGGCUGCGGCUGGAUCACCUCCUUANAACGUCGCAAGACCAAAGAGGGGGACCUUCGGGCCUCUUGCCAUCGGAUGUGCCCAGAUGGGAUUAGCUAGUANGUGGGGUAACGGCUCACCUAGGCGACGAUCCCUAGCUGGUCUGAGAGGAUGACCAGCCACACUGGAACUGAGACACGGUCGGGACUCCUACGGGAGGCAGCAGUGGGGAAUAUUGCACAAUGGGCGCAAGCCUGAUGC